GACGGAGGGUGCAAGCGUUGUUCGGAAUUACUGGGCGUAAAGGGCGCGUAGGCGGCCUUCUAAGUCGAACGUGAAAUCCCUCGGCUUAACCGGGGAACUGCGUCUGAUACUGGAUGGCUUGAGUUUGGGAGAGGGAUGCGGAAUUCCAGGUGUAGCGGUGAAAUGCGUAGAUAUCUGGAGGAACACCGGUGGCGAAGGCGGCAUCCUGGACCAACACUGACGCUGAGUGAGCGAAAGCCAGGGGAGCAAACGGG
rnacentral:rRNA from 1 species